CCAGUUCAGAUAUGCGUCAUCACAAAUUUACAUGAUAGAUCAGGUUAAGAACCACUGACCUAGAUAUAGUCAUGAUGGGUUCAGAGCGGCCACAACGCGGGCAGUCGUGCAAGUUCGAAACGUUUUGCCCUUUCAGUUUGUUUGUAAAUGCACACCAAAUAAAUGACAUUUUCUUAUCUUUU